ACUACUUGGAUAACAACCGUUUAAGUCCACCAGACAACCUAUUCAUUUUCUUUUUAUUUCCAAGUUAAAAGGUGAUCUUGACCGGAACUCUGCUGGGCAGCGUUAGUCAUCUGAAGAGAGGUGUUUGGGACGUUUGGUCCUGAUCGUUAUUAAGUUUGUUUCCGCACUCUAAACGUUAAUACUACCUCAUCCAUUCCCAGCCGAAAUGGAGAGAGGAACCAGCUGUUCUUUUCAGCUAUCGCUGAAGGUGUUCUUUGCAACGUUGCUGGCAAUCAAAUCGUCCGCCGGUGUUUCUUCAACCCGUGCUCCAUACUCUGAGUCGCCCUUAGACUAUCCUAAAAUGAACGAACGUGCAAUUCCUCCUCGUACCACGGAUUACUUAAAUCAUUACGCGGACGACGGCAAGACAGACGGGAAGGCUCUGGAACAAGGGCUUUCGCCUACCCCUCACGACAACAGUCUGGAGGAGCAUGAUCCGGAUGAUCGCUAUCUUGAGGGCUCUGCGGCGGAGGCGGCGUGGGCUCUGAACACGACUUCAGACCAUGGGCAGUAAUUAUACGUCUAACGUCAUCGUGGUGCACAAUGAGACCUGGGACGGCACCGGCGAUAACGAGACGCUCUCUGCCCACCGAAAUCCAGAUGGGAAUUCGUCCACAUCCGGAAACGCGACUAAGGAGCAUCUCGGCAACUUCCAGACGCUCAUUAAGAACACGGUCAACAGGCUGGUGCAGAAAGAGAUCGGGAAAAUCAGUUACGUCUACAAGAAAUACUUCGCCCUGUUGUACAACGUGUCUUUGGCGGAUAUCAAUGAGAAUGUGACACACGACGAACCCUCUAACAUCAUCGAACUGGUCGAGGAAGCCCUUAGCCUCGAUGAACCCAAAAUUCCUCCGGAGUGUAAGAUGACAAUUGUGACUGUGCACAUCUGUACCAUUAGGGUAUUUCACAUAGGAUCUCUGCCUCCAAACAUCGUCGAGAAUUACAACGAAGACUCCCUGCAGGGCCUGAUCUGCCCGUGCCCAGUUCCUGUCCCGGGCUUCCUGUGCCCAAUUUACGCGAGGAACAUAAUCCAGGAAAGGUACGACAAGCGGUGCCGAGAGUGAAUGUGGAAAACGAAAUCUGCCACUGGACACAUUGAACUUUAUCUGAGGUAGACAAUCGUCUGCUCAAAUAAUUCUCGGCUGGUUUUAAAGUUGUACAGUUAAUGACAGUUCUGAAUAAAUUUUAAAUGCUA